UACGGGGGGGGCAAGCGUUGUUCGGAAUUACUGGGCGUAAAGGGCGCGUAGGCGGCCUUCUAAGUCGGACGUGAAAUCCCUCGGCUUAACCGAGGAACUGCGUCCGAUACUGAAAGGCUUGAAUCCGGGAGAGGGAUGUGGAAUUCCAGGUGUAGCGGUGAAAUGCGUAGAUAUCUGGAGGAACACCGGUGGCGAAGGCGGCAUCCUGGACCA
rnacentral:rRNA from 1 species